CAAAUCAAACAACGUCUCUAAGUGCAGCAGAACUUACGAUGUCAGCCUAUCAUCCAUCCCCGUUACUUGAUUGACAUACAGGACAACCAGUCAGAUGACAACUGAAUUUUGACCUUUAGGUCACCGCUCAUGCGUAAACAACGAUGCAAAGUGCUAAGCUAGUCGGCGAAUUGCGUUAGAUUUUAAGCCCUCGCUAAAGUUUAUGGUCACUAAAAUGAGUGAAGUAGCUGGACCAAGUAAAAAGGCAAAAACAUAUCACUUCCAUACGGAAUGGGAGGUGGACUUUUUUUUUCACAAUGUCUUUUUCGAAGUGCGUUUGCCUGGCUAACCUGGCUAUCAGCAGCUACUGUCCGGACUAUGCAUCCCUGGCUGAUUCAAUUCAGUGCAAGUCAUCAAAGUAAACUCAGUAUUUACUCUUCAAUCCUGUCUGGAAAGCCCCAGCAGCGAUGAGGGUUAGCAUCUCCAUGGCCCGUAUGGAUGAAGCUGUUCUUCAGAGGUCGGCUGAUGUCAUGAGCCGACAAACCCGCCACCGAUGUCACCACGUUCCUGGGGAACUGUCCCACUUUAAGAGUACGUGUGUUCUGACCACGCCACCAAUAGUUCUCCGCUCUGAAAUAAUCAGAGAAAAUUGAAGUGAAUGAAACUCAACUGUUAUGAGAAUUUGGUGAAAAAUUACAAGGAUUUAAGACCUUAUGUGUCUUGAAAAAGAUGCAAAAAAAUAAAUACAGCUCGCUGGCUCCAACAUUACAUAUAAUCGUAAGUCUAACCUGCCCUCAAUGAUGGUGAUGACAUCAUCAACCUGAAUCCGCAGCUUGUCCUGCUCAUCAAAGUCCUGCAGAGCGCACAUGUCUGUCGGCAUGGACUGAAACACACAUGUAAUGUUUUUAUAUGUGGCGUUUUAUCUGCCAGAAUAUUUGUUAUCAUGUCAAUUUCAUUGUACAUGUGCAACGUUUUAAACUUUAGAGUGGAUGGGUUUGUCCAGAGAUCAUUUUUGGUAUGUCCACACCUUUUUUAGUUAUAAAUAAUAACAAUAUUAAUAUGUAAUGUUGUGUUAUUUGAACAAUUUGUUAUGUGCAAGAUCAUUUAUUCAUUAAUUUUCUACCGCUAUCCUCACGAGGGUCACGGGGGUGCUGGAGCCUAUCCCAGCUGUCUUCAGGCGAGAGGCGGGGUACACCCUGGACUGGUCGCCAGCCAAUCACAGGGCACAUAUAGACAAACAACCAUUCACACUCACAUUCAUACCUAUGGACAAUUUGGAGUCGCCAAUUAACCUAGCAUGUUUUUGGAGUACCCGGAGAAAACCCACGCAUGUACGGGGAGAACAUGCAGACUCCACACAGAGAUGGCCGAGAGUGGAACUGAACUCAGGUCUCCUAGCUGUGAGGCCUGCAUGCUAACCACUUGUCCGCUGUGCAAGAUCACAAACCUCUCAAUUAAUCCUUGAUUCCUUUGGCUAGUUUCAUGAAAUAGUUAAUGAUUUUGAGUUAUUAAUACACUAAAUAAUCAUACAUGUCAACCCUCCUAUCUUCCUGGGGAGAUUUGGAUUUAUUGUCCUUAUUUUCUGAGAUUAUUUCUGAGAUCCUUAUUUUCAAAUUUUCAAGACAUGAAUGAAGCGCUAUUUAAAAUAUGUCCACUAGAUGUCGCUAAAGGACAAUUUAUACAAUUAAAGUCAUCACCUUCAGUUUCGCAUUGAAAUGGAAAGUUUUUGAAAGCACACCCAUCAACCCCAAAGAAUACAAACAACAAAAUAAAAAUAAACAGCAGCUGCCUCACCUCAAGCAGGAACUCUCGCAGAGCCACAAACGUGGGUCUGUCAUCUGGUUUCUGCGCCCAACACUGCAACAUGACGUUGUAGAUAUCCUGUGGACAGUCCUCUGGCUUUGGGAGGCGUUCACCUUCUUUAUCAAUCUUAUGCAGGAUCUGGGAUUCAAAACAAAAUCACAUUCAGUCACAUCAUUCAUGGGCGUUUUUUCUGAGUAAACACAUUUC